AUCUUGUUUUAAGACUGAAUUUCUUAUUUUAAGUGUUCAACUGAACACUCUAAUCUUAUUUCUAGAUUUUAUUAUCUUAAUUCAAGAAUUAUCUUGCUGCAUGGACAGAUCAUUUCACUUGUUUUGAGUACCUUUACCUCAGAUCUAGUGAUUUUAUCUUGUUUAGACACUCCUUUUUUGCAGUGUGAUGGUGUGCAAUGAUGCCAUAUUUACCCAUGUUACGAGUGCAGAAUUCAAGAAUGAAAGUAGCAUGAUGCUUUCUGUGUUUGAUUAUACCUGUCUAAGUGUGUAACAUACAGUACGUCCAUCAAUAUGUGGAAUGUGGAUCUGUAAAUUCUUCCCCUGCGUUAAACGCAUUCAAAUGUGUGUGUGUGUGUGUGUGUGUGUGUGUGUGUGUGUGUGUGUGUGUGUGUGUGUAUGUGUGUGUGUGUGUGUGUGUGUGUGUGUGUGUGAAAAUCUGACACAAAGAGAGAGAAACCUGAACUUCUGAACUUGGCACCACUGCUGCUCAGCCAUGUCAAUCUGAUCACAUCUGACAGUGGAAAAUGUUAUCUCUUUCUCUCUCUCUCUCUCUCUCUCUCUCUUUCUCUCUCUCUCUCUCUCUCAAACACACAAACACCCUCUGAUAAUAUUUACAGUAAUAGUGCCUUAUCUCAACAGCCGUCUCAUCUCUUGACGUGGCUGGGUAUAGCAGGUGAAAACAUGUACCCCAGUAGGUCUCCGAUAGAGGCACAUUGCUAACUUUUUUUGUUUGUUUGUUUGUUUGUUUGUUUGUUUUGCCAAUGGCUAUAUUUAGGCCUCUUGUUUCAGAUGCUUUUGUUUUUGUGAUUUCUAUUGUAUUAAUAAUUGCACUAUUGUGUACUAUUGAUGUGCAAUAACUUUAUUUUUUUCUUUGUUCGAUUUCUUGACAACACAUUGCUUGGAUAGUCCGCCCAUAGUGACUAUCAUCUGUUAUGAUUCAAAUUCAGGGUGCAAAAUUGCUCUAAAAUGCAUAGUUCCAGUCCUUCAUUAAUAUUGGCUGAAUCAUGUUUGAUGAUGGGGUUGUAAAAUCCAGUAUGACCCUACACCUUGAUUGCAUUUCGUUCUAUAUUACAGGGCCACCAAAAAUUGAUACAAAAGUUAGAGCUGCUGCAUCUCGACGUUGACAUUAUGAUAGAGUCUCCUUGCUCCUCUGGUUGCGUGUCUUUUAAAGUUGUGGAGCUGAUAUGGUGGAAUGUGUUUGUGUGUGCGCCUGUCGGUGAAACAAGCUUUUCCUCGUAUCGAGACAUUUUGGUUGAGCACAUUGUUUCUGCAGCUCCACUUUUGAGGUCAUCACCAUGGUCAUCACGGAUAGGGCGGUUGUGUCUCAGCCUGGUCAUAUGAAACCACCUUUCGUGCCUGACCAGUGGAACACUGGCCUCUUUGACUGUUGUGAUGACUUUUCGUCAUGCUGCUACCAUUACUGGUGUUUCUGGUGCAUCGCCUGUAAGACUUCGGAAAAAUAUGGCGAGUGUCUCUGUAUGCCUUUGGUGGACUUCCUGGCUCUCGGAGGAAGUGUUCCAGCUUUCGCCAUGGCCAUGAGGUCCGACAUGCGCGAGCGCUACGGCAUUCGUGGCUCUAUGGUGGAAGACUUUAUGUUCUCGACCUGCUUCCCACCCUGCGUGUAUUUCCAGAUUUCAAGAGAGAUGAAGAUUCGCAAGCAGGCUGUAACUGUCGUCAAUACCCACCACCACAGACCGCACACCCAACGAUAAUCAUCCUCCCCCUGCUCCUCCUCCUCAUCAUCGUCAUCAUCAGUAUAGCAUUCAGUGGGAUUAACCUGAUUACCUUAAUUGCAAUCUUGAUAAAGUAAUGAGAAUCCACAGUAAUCAAUCUUCAAUUUUAAAAAAAUACUCUAUAAAAGUCACCUACACAUUUAUUUAUACAUUCAGCUGAUGUAUUUUUUUUUUAAAAAUCCAAAAUAAUGUAUAGCCUACUGUAGAUGCCAGUCUCCCCAGAGUAGCAUGGGUAGCCUUGCUCAAGGGCCCAGUGGAUUUGAACCUACGACUUUCCUACGUUCCUAACCAUGCUACUUAGCACCACCCCAGUCAUUCAUAGGUUGCUCUUGGCAUUGAAUUCUAUACAUUAACUACUAGUAUGGCGGCAGCCAAAUGCCAUAAUGUAGGUAGGUGAACCUGGAUUUGUCAGUUAAAGUUUUUUUUUUUUGCCGAAUCUAGUAGAGGGUGCCCGGUGAUAUCCCUUGGCCAAUUUUGUAUAUAGAGGUACCCUAGAUUCUGCAAAAACAAAACGACAAAACCAGGUCUGACCCCAUGGCUGCCUGAUACAAAUUGGAAUAAAAUGUGACAUUGAUAGUGGAUGUAUUGAUAUAAUAAGAACUAAAAGAUUUUUGUCAGACUAGUAUGGCAUUUUCGUCAUCAUUCCUUGGCAAAUUACUGUAACAUUGCUGGUUAUGUAAAAUGUUGUAACGUUGAGUUUCUGCAAUACCUUGAAAAUGACUGUUGAAAUUAAAGUCUUCUUUUUGUUCAAAUGAGCAAGAUGAACAAACAUCA